AUUCACAGUACUUGAACUCCUCGUGUCAACUUGCCUCUCUGCGGGCUAAGCCAGCAUGGCCACUUUGAAAGAUUUGUUCCUCUGAGGCCUGAAGAGCUACAGACAUUUCAAACAAUGAGCUCAGAGCAAAGCACACAGCGCAUAAGAAAAUGACUUAAAAGUUCUGAAAGGAUUUCCACUGUGGGGACUUUAGAGAAUUAGUGUAGACUGUGUGGGGGAUUCUGGAUUCAAAACAGAACACUGAGAAGAACUUUUUCUCCACUUCAGUCCAAGUAAAAUGAUAUCUGAAAUAAGAAAAGGAUGUUUCCGGUCAUUACCUCCUCCUGGUGUGCUCCUGACAUUUCCACAUCCCAUUCCUCCUCUGCUUUGUCUCCAAGAGAAUGUCCCCACUUUCACCCCCUGCUAAGCCU